CGGUUAUGGUGAUCAGGUUGGAAGGAGAUGAGAACCGAGCAUCAUCCUUCAAACAAAGGUCAGAUGAGCAGUUAUGACGAUGACAACGGAGUGAAGAUGACACUUCAGUCUGACAGAGGACAGACGUCCAGUCCUGGAAGCGAAAGAAGGGACCGGUGCAAUAAGAACGGAUCAUCUCCACACACAGACAUCUCCGUAUCACAGCCUGGACAGAGAUGCGAACAGCUUGUGUUUUGCACGUCCUGAUUAGAAAUCUGUGGUAAUUUCAGGGAAACGAAAAUGGUGAAAUAGCAAAUGACAAAUUACUGUGAAGCGUCAGAGGGUUUAAAAUGCUUCUGGCCAAACUGAGUACUGUAAAAUUACACAUUGAGGUUUAUGUGAAGUAUUUCGCAUUGACAUCAUUAAUGAACCAUUUUUACAUUUCACUUUUGUAUUUUCAUUUGCUCCAGCAGCAAAAGUAAUAAUGACUUUCCUAAUUAAAACAAACAAACAAAUAAGGAGAAACUGAUUACAGCAUUCAGAAGAGAAAGAUGUCAUAUUGACAUAAUUUUCUCAGCCGUUGCAUUAGAUAAGCUCAUAAAAGUGUGUAUAUUAUGGUGUACAUUGGAUUUUUAAAUUUUUUUAUUUAAAAAACGUGAGGUUUAUUGAUGUUUUGAUGUUUACAGUGUUACUGACCAUGAAAAACAAAUCAUCACAGUUUGUGAAAAGGACUUGUGAAAACAACAAUUGCACUGAAUUUUGUGUUGCUGCUGAUAAGUGUGUUAUUUCACCAAUAUACAUUUAUUAUAGAAUAGAUAGUUUUGUUAUUGUUACUUAAAAGAAAUGUGUUUCCAAUAAAUCACGUUUUCUUCA